GAUGAACGCUGGCGGCGUGCCUAAUACAUGCAAGUCGAGCGAACGGACGAGAAGCUUGCUUCUCUGAUGUUAGCGGCGGACGGGUGAGUAACACGUGGAUAACCUACCUAUAAGACUGGGAUAACUUCGGGAAACCGGAGCUAAUACCGGAUAAUAUUUUGAACCGCAUGGUUCAAAAGUGAAAGACGGUCUUGCUGUCACUUAUAGAUGGAUCCGCGCUGCAUUAGCUAGUUGGUAAGGUAACGGCUUACCAAGGCAACGAUGCAUAGCCGACCUGAGAGGGUGAUCGGCCACACUGGAACUGAGACACGGUCCAGACUCCUACGGUAGGAAGCAGUAGGGAAUCUUCCGCAAUGGGCGAAAGCCUGACGGAGCAACGCCGCGUGAGUGAUGAAGGUCUUCGGAUCGUAAAACUCUGUUAUUAGGGAAGAACAUAUGUGUAAGUAACUGUGCACAUCUUGACGGUACCUAAUCAGAAAGCCACGGCUAACUACGUG
rnacentral:rRNA from 1 species